GUCUUCCUCGAUCCCGUGGUGCUCCGCGGCGCGGCCUUGCUCUCUUCCGGUCGCGGGACACCGGGCGUAGAGGGCGGUCGCGGCGGGCAGUGGCGGCAGAAUGUUGGCUACCAGGGUAUUUAGCCUAGUUGGCAAGCGAGCAAUUUCCACCUCUGUGUGUGUACGAGCACAUGUGUUGUGAAGAGCGAAGACUUUUCGCUCUCAGCUUAUGUGGAUCGGCGUGACCACCCCUUGCCGGAGGUGGCCCAUGUCAAGCACCUGUCUGCCAGCCAGAAGGCCUUGAAGGAGAAGGAGAAGGCCUCCUGGAGCAGCCUCUCCAUGGAUGAGAAAGUCGAGUGUGGGUAUUGAAGGGACCCACAGGCGCGCCCAGCAGCUCUUGGAAGUGUGUGUGUGUGUGUGUGUGUGUGUGUGUGUGUGUGUGUGUGUGUGUGCGUGCCUCUGCUCACUUCUGGGCCUACUGUCUAGAGAGCAGUCUUGCACAGGAGGGUUGCUGUGCUGGGUUUCGGGGUCACUGUCCCAGGGCCCCAGUUUAUGUGCUCACCAGUCACUUAGCUCUGCCAGCUGACAGAAUCUUUUGCUAGGCCCCCUUCUCUGUGCU
rnacentral:sRNA from 1 species